rnacentral:rRNA from 1 species
GACGAACGCUGGCGGCGUGCUUAACACAUGCAAGUCGAACGGUGAAGCCCUUCGGGGUGGAUCAGUGGCGAACGGGUGAGUAACACGUGAGCAACCUGCCCCUGGCUCUGGGACAACCACUGGAAACGGUGGCUAAUACCGGAUACGACCCGCCUCGGCAUCGAGCGUGGGUGGAAAGUUUUUCGGCUGGGGAUGGGCUCGCGGCCUAUCAGCUUGUUGGUGAGGUGAAGGCUCACCAAGGCGACGACGGGUAGCCGGCCUGAGAGGGCGACCGGCCACACUGGGACUGGGACACGGCCCAGACUCCUACGGGAGGCAGCAGUGGGGAAUAUUGCACGAUGGGCGAAAGCCUGAUGCAGCGACGCCGCGUGAGGGAUGACGGCCUUCGGGUUGUAAACCUCUUUCAGCUCCGAAGAAGCGAAAGUGACGGUAGGAGCAGAAGAAGCACCGGCUAACUACGU